AACGAGCAAUUUUACUCUCUCAAGGGGAUGCCCUGCAACUGCCUGUCUCUCCUGGUUAACCUGGUGGGAAGCGC